rnacentral:rRNA from 1 species
AGGGGAAUAUUGGACAAUGGGCGCAAGCCUGUUCCAGCCAUGCCGCGUGAGUGAUGAAGGCCCUAGGGUUGUAAAGCUCUUUCACCGGUGAAGAUAAUGACGGUAACCGGAGAAGAAGCCCCGGCUAACUUCGUGCCAGCAGCCGCGGUAAUACGAAGGGGGCUAGCGUUGUUCGGAUUUACUGGGCGUAAAGCGCACGUAGGCGGUCUAUUAAGUCAGGGGUGAAAUCCCGGGGCUCAACCCCGGAACUGCCUUUGAUACUGGUAGUCUUGAGUUCGAGGGAGGUGAGUGGAAUUCCGAGUGUAGAGGUGAAAUUCGUAGAUAUUCGGAGGAACACCAGUGGCGAAGGCGGCUCACUGGCUCGAUACUGACGCUGAGGUGCGAAAGCGUGGGGAGCAAACAGG